ensembl:lncRNA
UAGGCAGGGCGGGCCUCCUCAGCAGGACCACUGCCUUUCAUCUUGAUUUCCCCAGGGGUCUUGUCCACAGUUUUGAUAAACCAGCCUGCCCACCAGCUGGUCCCCUCCCCAGCCCAGGCUGCUAGGCCAGAGCUGGGCCUUGCUGUGUCUAGCAUGACUUUCUAGGUUUUUUUUUCCUGGCCCUGGGGUGGCUCCUCUGGCAGGGGAGAGUCCCCAAGGGAGCCCUGCAAAGCAAAGUCUCCUUUUUCUUGGGCCCAACAAAGAAACAUACUUCCGUCCAGCAUGUCUCCUCCUGAGGCUUCAGGAGUGACUUUUUAAAGAAAAUGAGAGCCAAACUGGGCUUUAAAGGUGGAUAGGUGUUAGUGAGGAAGAUAAGGGAGAAAAUGUUUUGGAGGACAAAAUACAUGCCCAGUGCAAUGAAGAAAAUUAGUGAAUACAAAAAAAUUCUAAGCAGAGCUUUCAUUUAAGUAUUAAAGAUUUCCUCAAAGCUGCCCUGGGCUAAAGGCUGGGAGUAAGACAGGAGAGACAGUCCCUUCUGGUAUGUAGCUUACAUUCUAGAGAAGAUAAGUAAGAGUGAGAAGAAAUUCCAGAAGAAAUUUGUGAUAAAUCUGAGGGACAGAGACCAGUAGGGAGGGUGUUCAGGAGUCUUCCCCUACCUGCCAGCCCGAGGCCCAGGAUGCGAAGGCAGGAAGGAAGGGCUGAGGCUGGAGGCCUCUGUGCAGGCAGAUGGGGACCACAACCAUAGGGGAUACUUAAGUCCACGUUCUUGGAGGUCCAGGACGGGUGGCCCAUCUUUAGCCAGGCUCCUCCCCAGAAGCCUUGCCAUUCAGGGAGCCCAGUGCAGUCCAUUCAGGAGGGCACACAGGGAGCCUAAGUCUGGGCUGGGUGGGAGAGAAUGGACUCAAAUCUUAUGUCUGAGUUUGAAUCCUGCUUUCCAUACACUGGCUGUUUGACUUCAGACAAGUUAAUUUGCUUACUGAAGUUCCCUGAUCAGUGGAGAUAAACUAUCUAACUCACCACUGUUGUGUCAUGCUGGGUAAACAGAUUGCUGUACCAUCACAUACAGACUCAAGGGUCCCCACUGUGGUUGGAGGAUGCCAUUCAUACAGAAUAUUCUGUGGAGAUGUCUCUGGAGUUGUUCCUCCAGCCCCUGAGCCACCCCAGUAGAUGCUGCUGUCCAGGGCUCAACUGAGAUUGAGUGGAAAUAACUGCUGCCUCCAUCUGCUUACAGUAGUGCUGCAGUGCUUCACCAGAGAGAAGUGUCUUGUCGCAGGCCCAUGGAGGAUUGGGGUCCUCAGAAGUUGAAGGACUGGUCACUAGCCGGCCAUGCAUGGCCUUAGCUUUCACUGCUGCCCUGGGCAUGGAGUGCCAGGCAAGGGCCACGGAAAAGAGCCUGGACCUC